UGCAAUAAUUAAAACAUAUAUUCUAACAUUAAAAAUCUUUAUAUGUUUUCUUAAAGAAAAAAGUCUUUAUAUGUUUUACAUUUUAUAUUAAAUAAGAAUAAUAAUAAUAAAAUAAAAUAAAAGUCUUCUUCUUUCCCCCUCCAACUCACCACCCCCUCCACCACACCCACAAAUCACCACCGCUUCAACUCCGCCGCUGCCCCACCGCUCCCCACCAUCAUUUCAACCAUCCUGCACCAUCACCGCCACCAUCACAAUCUUCUCCAGAUCCACAUCCCACAACCACAUUAAAAAUAGGUUCCAGAUCCGUCGCCCCGCCCACAACAGUAAGAAUGAUGGAUGUUAAUACUAAAUAAAAGGAAAUAUAUAUUCAACAACACAAAAGUUGAAGUACUCUUCCGGUGGCAGCCGCAGCGCCGAGUCCGGAGGCGGCGGAGAGAUUUCGAUCUCGUUCUCGUCUCGGUGCAGUUCCUUUUCGUACGAUUCCUUCUCUUCACCUGCACUAUUUCGUGAGGUCGCCCGCAUCGAUAGAGCGGCAGGACUGAGGAGGCGUCGGCGGCGGUUGUGCCCGUCGUUAUUGCUCUGCAAUGCCAUUUCUAACGCCAGAACUUUUGGGUAGGAGAUAGGUUUUUAAGAAAUUUUAGAAACUACAAUUUGGUCCUGUAAAUUAGGUUAUUUAUAAUUGAAUCGAUAUUAUUUUAUGUUUAUUUACUAAGGGCUAUUCGUAAAUUAAAUUAUAUGGGGUAUUUUGGUAUUUUCACGGUCAGUCAAUGGGAAAAAAUCAAAUGGGUCGAGUGUGCUGUCCAAAAAUAUUCAUAGGGGG
rnacentral:lncRNA from 1 species